rnacentral:rRNA from 1 species
UACGGUGGGGGCGAGCGUUGUUCGGAAUUACUGGGCGUAAAGCGCACGUAGGCGGACCGGAAAGUCAGAGGUGAAAUCCCAGGGCUCAACCUUGGAACUGCCUUUGAAACUCCUGGUCUUGAGGUCGAGAGAGGUGAGUGGAAUUCCGAGUGUAGAGGUGAAAUUCGUAGAUAUUCGGAGGAACACCAGUGGCGAAGGCGGCUCACUGGCUCGAUACUGACGCUGAGGUGAGAAAGCGUGGGGAGCAAACAGG